GUGCUCGCUUCAGCAGCAAAUAUACUAAAAUUGGAACAAUACAGAGAAGAUUAGCGUGGUCCCUGCACAAGAAUGACAUGCAAAUUGGUGAGGCUUUCCACCUUUCU
ensembl:snRNA U6 U6 spliceosomal RNA